ensembl:lncRNA
CCCAGGGGUGACAGGCAGCUGGCGGAAAAGUGUCCCCUCAUCGCUGCUGCAGUUCAUCAAGAAUCGCUCUCUGGAAUACGCACCCACAACAGUGUGGGCAGGAGGAGCAUGGGACGCUGAUUUGCUGAUGGCAAAUGCCUGUGUGAGGAGAUGCAGUGGACUUUGUAACUCCUGUGCAGAUAAGGAGUGCAAGAAUAAAAAGAAGAGAGUGAAAACUAACAGAACUUAACAUUCUGAAGAGUGACUCUGCCCUGACAAAAUGCAAGUUCAGAGCAUGUACUCAUGGUUUUGGAAAGCAUCUCUAAUUCUGCGGAAGAAGAAUGACUGCCCCUCUGGGCCCAAUAAGAUUCUUGGAUGCAUGGCAACCCAGCCCAGCGAUCUUGAAACAUCCAACGAAUAGCCAUUGUACAGGCACAGACUGCAUGUGGAAGACUUGUACAGGCAGUCCUAAGUGUCACAGCUGUAUCCAAUCCCUU